AUUGAACGCUGGCGGCAUGCCUUACACAUGCAAGUCGAACGGUAGCACAGAGAGCUUGCUCUCGGGUGACGAGUGGCGGACGGGUGAGUAAUGUCUGGGAAACUGCCCGAUGGAGGGGGAUAACUACUGGAAACGGUAGCUAAUACCGCAUAACGUCGCAAGACCAAAGUGGGGGACCUUCGGGCCUCACACCAUCGGAUGUGCCCAGAUGGGAUUAGCUAGUAGGUGGGGUAAUGGCUCACCUAGGCGACGAUCCCUAGCUGGUCUGAGAGGAUGACCAGCCACACUGGAGCUGAGACACGGUCCAGACUCCUACGGGAGGCAGCAGUGGGGAAUAUUGCACAAUGGGCGCAAGCCUGAUGCAGCCAUGCCGCGUGUAUGAAGAAGGCCUUCGGGUUGUAAAGUACUUUCAGCGGGGAGGAAGGCGGUGGAGUUAAUAACUUCACCGAUUGACGUUACCCGCAGAAGAAGCACCGGCUAACUCCGUGCCAGCAGCCGCGGUAA
rnacentral:rRNA from 1 species